GACGAACGCUGGCGGCGUGCUUAACACAUGCAAGUCGAACGAUGACGACCGAGCUUGCUCGGUCUGAUUAGUGGCGAACGGGUGAGUAACACGUGAGCAACCUGCCCUUCACUCUGGGAUAACCUCGGGAAAUCGGGGCUAAUACCGGAUAUGAGCUCCUGUCGCAGGGCGGGUGUUGGAAAGUUUUUCGGUGAAGGAUUGGCUCGCGGCCUAUCAGUUUGUUGGUGAGGUAGUGGCUCACCAAGGCGAUGACGGGUAGCCGGCCUGAGAGGGCGACCGGCCACACUGGGCCUGAGACACGGCCCAGACUCCUACGGGAGGCAGAAGUGGGGAAUAUUGCACAAUGGGAGCAAGCCUGAUGCAGCGACGCCGCGUGAGGGAUGACGGCUUUCGGGUUGUAAACCUCUUUCAGCAGGGAAGAAGCGAAAGUGACGGUACCUGAAGAAGAAGCGCCGGCUAACUACGUG
rnacentral:rRNA from 1 species